GCAUUUGACCUCAAAUCAGGUAGGAU
rnacentral:rRNA from 1 species